rnacentral:rRNA from 1 species
CCUACGGGGGGCAGCAGUAAGGAAUAUUGCGCAAUGGGCGACAGCCUGACGCAGCGACGCCGCGUGGGGGAUGAAGGUCUUCGGAUUGUAAACCCCUUUCGGCAGGGAAGAUGGAACGGGUAACCGUUCGGACGGUACCUGCAGAAGCAGCCACGGCUAACUUCGUGCCAGCAGCCGCGGUAAUACGAAGGUGGCAAGCGUUGUUCGGAUUUACUGGGCGUACAGGGAGCGUAGGCGGUUGGGUAAGCCCUCCGUGAAAUCUCCGGGCCUAACCCGGAAAGUGCGGAGGGGACUGCUCGGCUAGAGGAUGGGAGAGGAGCGCGGAAUUCCCGGUGUAGCGGUGAAAUGCGUAGAGAUCGGGAGGAAGGCCGGUGGCGAAGGCGGCGCUCUGGAACAUUUCUGACGCUGAGGCUCGAAAGCGUGGGGAGCAAACAGGAUUAGAUACCCGGGUAGUC